rnacentral:rRNA from 1 species
AUGGCUAGGGUUUUGGGCGCCUCCGCACUGGCGUGGCUCCGGCAUCUCUUCUCCGACGCCCACCGCGCCCCCACACGCAGCUCUGUCUCCAAGAUGUUGCUCCUUAACCAGGUGGCCAUGGGGGUAAGGAUUGGAUGCUUGAGGAAGGAGGGGUCGACCUUGCCUUGCUGCAGCUCGGGACACACCACCAUACAUGGGCAUCCUCCUUUCUGUCUUUCAAAGUUAACUACCCGUGGAGGUUUGAGGAAGAGCUCGCUGGGAAAAUUCGUUGGUGGGCUCAGUCGGCGAACGACAGAGACACUCUGGCAAGGUCGAGCCGCCGGCUAG